CUCAAAACCCUAGAUCAAACGAGUGCAAGUUCCAUUCUUCAUUCUCAUAUUCAUCAACCGCCACUCUUCUUCUCACAUUCGACGGCACCACAUCUACCUUCUGAUGAUUAUUUUCAAGUAGAUUAAUCCAUUUCUUAUUUGUUCCUCAUUCAAUUAGACUUCAUUUGUUCGCAACCUUCUGUCAGUCUGGGUUUUAGAUCACUCACCGGUGCCGAAAUUGCAGAAAUCGGAGGAAUCAGAGAGUUUUGAGGAAUUUUGGGGUUUCGCCACUACUCAAUUUGCUUCUUUUGCUUCGACGAGCGGUAUAUUCUAACUCGCACUGGUAUAUUAAGGGAAAACUCGCACGUUCUUUGUCAUGCCAGUGAAAAGAAAAUGGAGGAGCAAGUAGAAGAAUUAUGCUGUAAAAGACCGCUUUUGAUGAAAAGAAAGGAGGUAUAGUGACCAUGCCUUUCAUCAUAGGUACGAAAUAAUCCACAUUCUUGAAGUUAAAUUUUGAAAUUAUUGUGAUUUUACAUCAUGGGUUCCUUGAAUCUUGAAGUUUUAUGUUUUAGUAAAAAAGUUUUUUGGUGUUUCAGUUUGAUUGUAUAUUUAAAUUUUUUAGUGUUUUAGGUUGAAUAUCUAUUAUUAUGCAUUACAAUCGUGACACAUUUGCCUUAUGAAUAUGUCAAAUGAGGAUUUUUUUGUUAUUCUGGUUAAAAAUAUCUGAUACAUAUAUUGUUUAAUCGAACUCAUGUAUUUUGUUUUUGUUUUUUAUAUUGUUGGUCUAAUCUAUUCUUGAUUUUUGUUUUGGACUUGAUGAAUGAUGUUUUUUUUUUUUGACGUGGAAGCAUGAGGAUAUAUAGUUCACUGAGUUUAUAGAAUCAUUGAAGGGUCCAAUUUUGUGUUAUUUCUGUGCAUUAGAUAGAACUGUUUUGUAUUUGUCAUGUUUUCUAAUGUUGUUGUCCCUCUCUUAUCAUUUCCAUGCAUUUAUCGUGAAACUAAGGUGGAUAUGGACAUUAACAGCAGUUUAUAGCAUUGACGAAGUGACUUUCUUUCAACUAUAAGUUUCAUCAGGUGAUCUCUUGGUAAGAUCGCUCUUUUUUACUUAUUAGAAUUGGUUCAGAUCCGUACAAUGUGUCUAUUGUUAAAUUUGAUUAGUUACUAUUUGGUAUUAAUCGUUUAUUUGUGUAUCGAGAUCAAAUUAUGAACAUCAUCUUGAUUCAUGAUUCACACAAGUUGGCCUCUAAACCACAAAAAGUUGUGUUUCUUAGAUCCUAUGUGCUUUUUAUAACGAAAUAUGGGGAAAAUUAGUUAGAUGAUAACAAAGAUUAUUCAUCAUGGUAUUCGUUUGUUUUAAUUUGGGCUGAUGACGAAGAUAGUGAAGCAAUUAAGCUCACCUUUAGUAAAAACAAAAUUGAGGCCGACAAGAACUGGCUUUGGUCACUUCAGGUUUGGACUAUUGAUAUUUAAUCUUUACUUAGAAUUUAGUGUGUUCAAUAUGUGGGUAGACUUUAUGAUCAUAAUGGAUAUGAAACAAGAUAACCAAUAUGUGUUGUUUUUGUUUUACAUAUUGUCUGAACCUAAUGUCCAAUUUGCCAUUUAUAUGACCCUAAUGUAGAAAUCCUUAAUAUGGUUGUCACCAUGGUUGGAAAAUUUACAUAUCUAUAUUGUGCAGAAGAUGGAACAAAAAAAAUGGUUGAUGCUGUCACAGGAGUUUAAGUGUUAGGACAUUCUUUAAGAUGGAACGACGAUAAUGAAACUGAAUUGUCAUGUUGCUCUUCAUCCAACCGUUCGGUUCAUUCAUUAGUACUUGCAAGGAGCUGAAGAACAAGUAAGAGGAAGAGAAGCGUCGUAAAGAAUAAGAGAGGAGAAAAGGUUGAAAUAAGCUUCCACCUUUUCAUUUGAUGAGGUUUUGGUCGUUUUUAGAGGAGGAAAUCGAGGAUGAAAAGAUUCACGAGAGUGCCAGCGAGAAGCGUGAAGAUGGCCAAUAUACCACCGGACGAUUAUUCGUGGAGGAAAUACGGCCAAAAGCCGAUCAAAGGCUCACCCUAUCCAAGGUUACUUUGGCAAACCAACCCAAGAAAUCCGCUGAAGGCUCUUAUGAUUCUCAUUAGCAAAGGCUAUAAAUUUAGAUAAUGAUCCGUGCACAAUUCCCAAGUUGAAUGUGAUGCCAAUCUUAUGGAACGUAGUUCAAGAGCAUUUGGAUUGCUAACUUUGUUUAAUUCAUAUAGUGUUGACAUGUAUUGUUUUGUUCAAACUUUUUUCAAAUAUAGUAAAAAAUAAAAGACUAUGUUGGCAUGGUUAUUAUUAUUUUUUAGUUGUAAUAAUGGUAAAUUUUCUUUAU